AUGCAGUCGAACGAUGACACUUCGGUGGGGAUUAGUGGCGAACGGGUGAGUAACACGUGGGUAAUCUGCCCUUCACUCUGGGACAAGCCCUGGAAACSGGGUCUAAUACCGGAUAUCACUGCCAUGGGCAUCUGUGGUGGUUGAAAGCUCCGGCGGUGAAGGAUGAGCCCGCGGCCUAUCAGCUUGUUGGUGAGGUAACGGCUCACCAAGGCGACGACGGGUAGCCGGCCUGAGAGGGCGACCGGCCACACUGGGACUGAGACACGGCCCAGACUCCUACGGGAGGCAGCAGUGGGGAAUAUUGCACAAUGGGCGCAAGCCUGAUGCAGCGACGCCGCGUGAGGGAUGACGGCCUUCGGGUUGUAAACCUCUUUCAGCAGGGAAGAAGCGAAAGUGACGGUACCUGCAGAAGAAGCGCCGGCUAACUACGUGCCAGCAGCCGCGGUAAUACGUAGGGCGCAAGCGUUGUCCGGAAUUAUUGGGCGUAAAGAGCUCGUAGGCGGCUUGUCACGUCGGGUGUGAAAGCCCGGGGCUUAACCCCGGGUCUGCAUUCGAUACGGGCAGGCUAGAGUGUGGUAGGGGAGAUCGGAAUUCCUGGUGUAGCGGUGAAAUGCGCAGAUAUCACGAGGAACACCGGUGGCGAARGCGGAUCUCUGGGCCAUUACUGACGCUGAGGAGCGAAAGCGUGGGGAGCGAACAGGAUUAGAUACCCUGGUAGUCCACGCCGUAAACGGUGGGAACUAGGUGUUGGCGACAUUCCACGUCGUCGGUGCCGCAGCUACGCAUUAGUUCCCCCGCCUGGGGGAGUACGGCGCAGGCUAAACUCAAGGAAUGAYGGGGGCCGCACA
rnacentral:rRNA from 1 species